rnacentral:lncRNA from 1 species
CCUACAGUCUUUUGGCUUCAUUAUUACGGCAUGCAUCCUUUACUACCAAGGUGGUUCCUUCUUAUGUAUUUGCUUCCAGUUCUCUUGCUAUAUUUUCUCAAUUUUGUAUUAUGAAAGUUUACAGGCCUUAUUAUUCUUGUUUGGUCAUCUUCCAGUUUGUUUUGCAUUAUCUUCUGUAACAAAUGUUUCUAUUUUGUCCCCGGUUUAUACUUGUUACUCUUGGACAAUAGCUGUAUAGUUACUAAUAAAGCAGUGUUUCUUAUCAAAAAAAAAAAACUACUGACAAAUUUCCUUCUAACAAGGAGUAACCCUUGUCAAGUACUCUGAUAGUGGUUGGUAUUAG